UGCAAUGUGUUUUGAACUGAGUCCUGCCUCUUCAAUCUGGUCUGUUUGAGAUCCAUGGUCAAUGUAUCUAUCAGGAAGCAUCAUGGGUCUCCACUGUAACACAACAUGUUGAAUUUAAAUCAUUAGUAAAACUGAUAUAAUUUUGUUUGGAUGACAUCUAUGAAUGUUAAAAGGUAUAAUGAGAAAAUUACCUUUAGGUUUCCAUCUAGUAAUCCAUUUAAGCACAAGAAAUUAGCUACAUGAGAACCAAAUCCUCCAAUUGAUCCUUCUUCAACAGUGAUGAGUAUCUCAUGCUCUUGAGCUAGCUGCCU
rnacentral:lncRNA from 1 species